rnacentral:rRNA from 1 species
AUUGAACGCUGGCGGCAGGCUUAACACAUGCAAGUCGAGCGAGCGGCGGACGGGUGAGUAAUGUCUGGGAAACUGCCUGAUUGAGGGGGAUAACUACUGGAAUCGUUAGCUACUACCGCAUACCAUCAGAGGUGCCCAGAUGGGAUUAGCGAGUAGGUGGGGUAAUGGCUCACCUAGGCGACGAUCCCUAGCUGGUCUGAGAGGAUGACGAGCCACACUGGAACUGAGACACGGGCCAGACUCCUACGGGAGGGAGCAGUGGGGAAUAUGGCACAAUGGGCGCAAGCCUGAUGAAGCCAUGCCGCGUGGAUGAGGAAGGCCUUAGGGUUGUAAAGUACUUUCAGCGAGGAGGCGUUACUCGCAGAAGAAGCACCGGCUAACGCCGUGCCAGCAGCCGCGGUAAUAC